CCUGAACCAGCCAUGCCGCGUGCAGGAAGACUGCCCUAUGGGUUGUAAACUGCUUUUAUCCGGGAAUAAACCACAUUACGUGUAAUGUGCUGAAUGUACCGGAAGAAUAAGGAUCGGCUAACUCCGUGCCAGCAGCCGCGGUAAUACGGAGGAUCCAAGCGUUAUCCGGAUUUAUUGGGUUUAAAGGGUGCGUAGGCGGCCUGUUAAGUCAGGGGUGAAAGACGGUAGCUCAACUAUCGCAGUGCCCUUGAUACUGAUGGGCUUGAAUGGACUAGAGGUAGGCGGAAUGAGACAAGUAGCGGUGAAAUGCAUAGAUAUGUCUCAAAACACCGAUUGCGAAGGCAGCUUACUAUGGUCUUAUUGACGCUGAGGCACGAAAGCGUGGGGAUCAAACAGGAUUAGAUACCCUGGUAGUCCACGCCCUAAACGAUGAACACUCGCUGUUGGCGAUACACAGUCAGCGGCUAAGCGAAAGCGUUAAGUGUUCCACCUGGGGAGUACGCUCGCAAGAGUGAAACUCAAAGGAAUUGACGG
rnacentral:rRNA from 1 species